rnacentral:rRNA from 1 species
UNUGGCUCAGGAUGAACGCUGGCGGCGUGCCUAAUACAUGCAAGUCGAACGCACAGCGAAAGGUGCUUGCACCUUUCAAGUGAGUGGCGAACGGGUGAGUAACACGUGGACAACCUGCCUCAAGGCUGGGGAUAACAUUUGGAAACAGAUGCUAAUACCGAAUAAAACUUAGUGUCGCAUGACAAAAAGUUAAAAGGCGCUUCGGCGUCACCUAGAGAUGGAUCCGCGGUGCAUUAGUUAGUUGGUGGGGUAAAGGCCUACCAAGACAAUGAUGCAUAGCCGAGUUGAGAGACUGAUCGGCCACAUUGGGACUGAGACACGGCCCAAACUCCUACGGGAGGCUGCAGUAGGGAAUCUUCCACAAUGGGCGAAAGCCUGAUGGAGCAACGCCGCGUGUGUGAUGAAGGCUUUCGGGUCGUAAAGCACUGUUGUAUGGGAAGAACAGCUAGAAUAGGAAAUGAUUUUAGUUUGACGGUACCAUACCAGAAAGGGACGGCUAAAUACGUGCCAGCAGCCGCGGUAAUACGUAUGUCCCGAGCGUUAUCCGGAUUUAUUGGGCGUAAAGCGAGCGCAGACGGUUUAUUAAGUCUGAUGUGAAAGCCCGGAGCUCAACUCCGGAAUGGCAUUGGAAACUGGUUAACUUGAGUGCAGUAGAGGUAAGUGGAACUCCAUGUGUAGCGGUGGAAUGCGUAGAUAUAUGGAAGAACACCAGUGGCGAAGGCGGCUUACUGGACUGCAACUGACGUGAG